CGUGUAGGCGGCUUUUCAAGUUCGUCGUGAAAGCUCCCGGCUAAACCGGGGAGGGUCGAGGGAGACUGAGAAGCUAGAGGGCGGUAGAGGGACAGGGAAUUCCGGGUGUAGUGGUGAAAUGCGUAGAGAUCCGGAGGAACACCAGUGGCGAAGGCGCUGUCCUGGGCCGCAACUGACGCUGAGACGCGAAAGCAUGGGGAGCGAACG
rnacentral:rRNA from 1 species